GGGGAAUUUUGGACAAUGGGCGCAAGCCUGAUCCAGCCAUUCCGCGUGCAGGAUGAAGGCCCUCGGGUUGUAAACUGCUUUUGUACGGAACGAAACGGCCUGCUCUAAUACAGCGGGCUAAUGACGGUACCGUAAGAAUAAGCACCGGCUAACUACGUGCCAGCAGCCGCGGUAAUACGUAGGUGGCAAGCGUUGUCCGGAUUUAUUGGGUUUAAAGGGUGCGUAGGCGGCCAAUUAAGUCAGUGCUGAAAUACUCUAGCUUAACUAGAGGGGUGGCAUUGAUACUGAUUGGCUUGAGUGAAGUCGAAGUAGGCGGAAUUGACGGUGUAGCGGUGAAAUGCUUAGAUAUCGUCAAGAACACCGAUAGUGAAGACAGCUUACUAGACUUCAACUGACGCUGAGGCACGAAAGUGUGGGGAUCAAA
rnacentral:rRNA from 1 species